rnacentral:rRNA from 1 species
GGCUAAACCAUGCACCGAAGCUGCGGCAGCGAACGUAUCACUUAAAGCGAUUCAGCGGGUUACGAUUGACGGAGCGAAGCGACGUCAAAGCGUAUACAAAGUCGAGUCGGUUUAAGGAUACGUUCGUUGGGUAGGGGAGCGUUCUGUAAGCCUGUGAAGGUGGCCUGUGAGGGUUGCUGGAGGUAUCAGAAGUGCGAAUGCUGACAUAAGUAACGAUAAAGCGGGUGAAAAGCCCGCUCGCCGGAAGACCAAGGGUUCCUGUCCAACGUUAAUCGGGGCAGGGUGAGUCGACCCCUAAGGCGAGGCCGAAAGGCGUAGUCGAUGGGAAACGGGUUAAUAUUCCCGUACUUGGUGUUACUGCGAAGGGGGGACGGAGAAGGCUAUGUUGGCCGGGCGACGGUUGUCCCGGUUUAAGCGUGUAGGUGUGUGUUCCAGGUAAAUCCGGUUCACUUUAACACUGAGGCGUGAUGACGAGGCACUACGGUGCUGAAGCAACAAAUGCCCUGCUUCCAGGAAAAGCCUCUAAGCAUCAGGUAACAUCAAAUCGUACCCCAAACCGACACAGGUGGUCAGGUAGAGAAUACCAAGGCGCUUGAGAGAACUCGGGUGAAGGAACUAGGCAAAAUGGUGCCGUAACUUCGGGAGAAGGCACGCUGACACGUAGGUGAAGUGAUUUACUCACGGAGCUGAAGUCAGUCGAAGAUACCAGCUGGCUGCAACUGUUUAUUAAAAACACAGCACUGUGCAAACACGAAAGUGGACGUAUACGGUGUGACGCCUGCCCGGUGCCGGAAGGUUAAUUGAUGGGGUCAGCGCAAGCGAAGCUCCUGAUCGAAGCCCCGGUAAACGGCGGCCGUAACUAUAACGGUCCUAAGGUAGCGAAAUUCCUUGUCGGGUAAGUUCCGACCUGCACGAAUGGCGUAAUGAUGGCCAGGCUGUCUCCACCCGAGACUCAGUGAAAUUGAACUCGCUGUGAAGAUGCAGUGUACCCGCGGCAAGACGGAAAGACCCCGUGAACCUUUACUAUAGCUUGACACUGAACAUUGAGCCUUGAUGUGUAG